rnacentral:rRNA from 1 species
UGAGGAAUUUUGCGCAAUGGGCGAAAGCCUGACGCAGCAACGCCGCGUGAGUGACGAAGGCCUUCGGGUCGUAAAACUCUGUCAGGCGGGAAGAAACUGUACUGUAUGAAUGAUAUGGUAUACUGACGGUACCGCCGAAGGAAGCACCGGCUAACUCCGUGCCAGCAGCAGCGGUAAUACGGAGGGUGAAAGCGUUAUUCGGAUUUAUUGGGCGUGAAGGGCGCGUAGGCGGCUUUUUAAGUCAGAUGUGAAAGCCCGGUGAUUAACCUCGGAAGUGCAUUUGAAACUGGGAAGCUUGAGUAUGGGAGAGGUAAACGGAAUUCCUGGUGUAGCGGUGAAAUGCGUAGAUAUCAGGAGGAACACCGGUGGCGAAAGCGGUUUCCCGGACCAAUACUGACGCUGAGGCGCGAAGGCGCGGGGAUCAAACA